AAAAGCUGAUAAACCUCUUAUGAGCUUUUAUUUGACUAUUGCAUUGGGGCCUUGCAGUUGUCGGUCCUGCUAUCAAAAUAAAGUUUGUGGAUGCAACGAGAAUCUGCAGAGAGCUGGAAUUAAUUUGAUUUUAUUUUUUGAGGACUGGUGCCGUUUGAAACCUUCAUCCGCAGCUAAAAGUCUUAAAAUCUCUAACACUCCACAAGAAACUAAAUUAAAGGAAGGGGACACUUCUUUGAUGUCUAUAUAUAUGUGUGUGUGUGUGUGUGUGCUUGCAUCAAAAAAUGAAUAUCGAAAUUUAUUUCCUUCAAUUGUAACAGAGAAAGGAAUUUAGAUGCCUCAGCUCUCGAGUCCGUACCAUUACCAAGAAUCCUUUGCUUUAUGUGCUGUGAAUAAGAAAACUUGUUCCGCAUUUAGAUUCCUCAAUCGGCAAAUGAUGAUAGUUAUGGUUUCGAAAAAUUUGUUCACAAGCUCAUCAGCGAAAGCUUGAAAGUACACAUAAAAAGGUUAUGAUCAGAGCACUGAUUUAUGAAUGCAUGCAAGGGUCGGACUUGUGCAGGCACAAUAUGCAAAAGUAAAAAUGACUUGAAAAUGGUUACCAUCUUCAAGCUUUCUGAGCAGGUAUUCAUAAAUCACGAACAAACUCAUGCUGGAUCUUGAUUACAAGUAAAAUAACGCACCCUUUUGUUUUCAUCCACAUCAGCUUUAGUCACCACUAAAAUCUUGUUAACUUCAACUGAAGUUUGAUCGAUGCCCUCAAUCCAAUUCCUAAUAUCUGAACAUGGUAAUUAAGAAGCAAAUUUUAUUUUUUAAGUAAUAAAAUUUUUUAAAAAAAAGAAUGGGAUAAAGUUUUUUGCAGAUUCUUAAUCAUCCUCUCAAAUGAAACAAGGCCAUCUUUUUAUUAACAUGUAGCCAGUUGGCUACUGAAUUUGAUCCGUGAAGAUAAGAGAAUUAUCAUGAGGAUUAGUGUUGAAGCAUGAUUCAUCCAUUACGUCGUGCAUACGCCAUUAAAAUUCCCAUGAUAGUAAGCUGUUUAUAAGAAGAUAAGAAGAUAGAAAGUCUCUUGGAAGGAAUAAAAAAAAAAAUGAACCACAAAUAGAUGUGAAAAACAAUAUUUCAGCUAUAUAUACAUAAGAAGAACUAAUAAGAAACUAAUACAUAUAAAUGAUGCUACUAAAAUAUUAGUAAGACCAAAAGAUGAGAUUAUAUAUUCACCACCAACAUGCGCAAAUUACGCAUUUUAUUAUUAUUACUUCAUGAUAUUUAAAUUAUAUAUAGAGUGCGUUUGAGAGUGACGUGAAAUAAUUGGACUACCACAAUCUAACUAUCAAGGUGUUUGGUUAUACCUUAUAACUAAACUUUAACAGUUUAGCAUUUUAAAAGUUAAGAAUUUUAUUCUAAAAUUAUAACUUUUAUUUUACAGCAGCUGCAUCUUAAAAAUUAUAAUUCCUCACUUCCAAACGGAACCAUGCACACCCAAACCAAUGGUGCAGAUAAAAGUGGUGGUGUAGAAAUUAUCACAGAAACCCGAAUCCGAAAGAAAGGCAACCUGCCCAUGCAAACAAUAGGAUUGUUCGUUAACAAUUCAACAGCUACAACCUAAAGCUAGUUAAGAGAAGUAGCAUUGACUAAUUAAUGCACCAUAAUUAUUAAUACACCUGACGUGUGAGACAAAAGCAAAAAUUAUGUUAAUUAUUGAUUAUGUCCUCUGCCUUCGCUCUAGUCUUACGUACUUAUUAAUGGAUAACAUUUAAAGUUUAAAUUAGGCAAUAACAAUUAAAGAAAACGUAACCCUUUGUAGACUCUUCUCUACAACAGUGAGAUCGAGUGAGUUUUGGACCAAAUGAAUGAAAUACAGAUAGAUCUGCAGAUAGAUACAGUGGCCUGUGCCCGCUUCACAAUGAAAAAUCCCAAUGCAAGGUGAGUUUUUUUUUUUUUUUUCCUGAGUCUUAUUAAUUUACGUAGUGCACUUGAUAAUUUAUGAUCUCUUCGCUACUCGUCGGUCGCCCUCAUUCAUUCUACUCCAUAAAAUACGGACAUAUUACUAAUCAUAAUGCCCCACAUGACAUGUUUAUUGGUCUACAAACUCACAUUUUUUCUUUAAAAUAAUGGUUAAUUACCAGCGUGUCAACUGUCAAGUACUCUCAAAUGCAAGUUGCCCGCUGAAUGUUUAAGCUACUAUAUUAAGAAAUAAAGUAUAAAUUUGUCAAUAAAUCAUGCGGAGAAGAGUUGUAAAAUGUUUGCUCCAAUUCACAAUUAGAUCCCUAAUGUUUUAAAACCUUCAUCAUUUUGGAAAUGACCAUUAAUUUUGAAUUGACCUCCUUUUAUUAGUAAAUUAAUUUCGUGUAUUUGAAUGGACGACAUUUUUUUUUUAUAUUAAACCAUCUAGUAUCCGAAAAUUAUAUUAGAUUUCGACUAAUUCAGAUUCGAGCCGGGUAGGACCACUGGGGCAGCAAAACUCUCCCAACAAGUAUUUAACGCAGCUGCAUUCCCAAGUUUCGAAUUGAGGAUCUUAGUUAAGCCAGAACAAUCUCUUGCCAAUUGAUCUACGCGCUUGUUGAUGAAUUAUAACGACAUUAAUACGAUGAAGUGCUCGCCAAAAUUAAAAUAUUAUAAUUUCCUUAUUUCAACUCAAAUUUAUACACGAAAUUCAAUAACAAAGAUACCUAGAUGUUCCUCUUCUGAAAUAGUAGAAAAGCUCUCAAUUUUUCAAACAGAAAUAAAGUAUAACUGUCCAUUAUACCAGACAAAGCUCUCAAUUUUUCAAAUAGAAAUAAAGUAUAACUGUCCAUUAUACCAGACAAACAUUAGUAGUUUGGGUCAUUGGGUGUAUGGGGAAGGCUAUACAAGUCCAAAAUACAAUGACAAGGCAAAAAAAAAAAAAAAAAAAAUUAAAAAAAAAAUACGGGAGCAACAGGCCAAUAGACUAAAAAGUGCAACUAGCUUGGAAUUCCUACUUUACAUGCAUUCUUUCACCAUUAUAAUCAUAAAAAUAACAAAAAGUUGAUUGAAAAAAUAAUGGCAUGGGCCAGCAACUUAAUGCUUCAAGCAUAUGCCAGGAAGAUCCUCUCCCCAGUAACCUAAUUAACCCAGUUAGCUUUUCCUUGUUUUCCCUUUAAAGCUGAGAAACCUCUCUUUCACUCUUCUCUUUGAUAAAUCUAGGCGCUGGCCAGCAGCGAUUCAAUGUGAUGUUUCUAAUGGCAUCAACGAGUACUACUCACGCCGGAGGCGAGAUAAAUGGUGAUGAGGGGAGUGAUCAGGAUGAUGAUCGUGUCCUAAUUCCUGACAGUUGAAGUUUUGUCGUGUCUUUGAUCAGAUGGGCAACUUUGGAACCUUUGGCAGUACUUCUCGGAUGAGAUGCUUUACGGCUCAGGCAUGCAUAUCCACACCAGUUAAGCUGUUUUUGUAGGAUCUGAAAGGUUUGUAAAAAUUAAAAUUAAUAAGAAAAAAAAUACUUUUUCAUUAUGUAAUACGUAUCGAGCUUGGAUGAAAUGUUAUUGAUGCUCAAGCGAGCUAUUGAUUUCAAAGUUUUUUCGUUGUUUUACUUUGUAUGUUAUUGUGAUUUAAAUGUGUUUCGUUGCUUUCUAUCCUGUACGUGCUAUUCACUUAUUUGCCAUGAAACUAGCCUUAAAAAAAUAUGAUCCAUGGUACGUUGAGUUCAAUAUAAUUUCGUUUCUUCGCUAAUGUAAGUGGCAGCUUUCUGUGCAAUCUGGAAAUGCAAGUUGCAGCUGAGUUCUGUUAUAAAGGCUGAUGGUUACUCCGGAUUUGGGCUAAGGUUGCUAUAAGAUUUCUGUGCAAUCCGGAAAUUAAAGAAAUAAGCCUUUUUAACAGAACUCAGUUUAAGCAAAGGUUGCUAGCUUUAAAAAACUGCAUUCAUUUCUUUUAUUGAACUAGUGAUUAACAAAUUAAAGAAAUA
rnacentral:lncRNA from 1 species